rnacentral:rRNA from 1 species
GAACCUAGCUUGCUAGGUAAGUUAGUGGCAAACGGGUGAGUAACACGUGGGGAUCUACCCAGUAGUACGGAAUAACAGUUGGAAACGAUUGCUAAUACCGUAUAGUAUCGAGAGAUUAAAGAUUUAUCGCUACUGGAUGAGCCCGCGUCAGAUUAGAUAGUUGGUGGGGUAAUGGCCUACCAAGUCUGAGAUCUGUAGCUGGUCUGAGAGGAUGAUCAGCCACACUGGAACUGAGACACGGCCCAGACUCC